AAACCUCGAAGCUCACGAGCAAACUAUCAACUUACAAUGAUUGACAUAGAUAUAGUUUGGUUCCUCUGUUUUAAUUGGCAGAAAAGGAAAAAGGGGAAGGGAGACAAGUUGUUGGUGCAAAACACUGCUCUUGAGCAACUACACUUCCUUUCACCACCAUGUACUAGAUCCCCUUACCAGCUCAAAGUGUAAGGUGGCGACUCUUGGCUAAUAUCAGCAUUAGGCCAAUGUCAUGGGCACUACAUUCCAAUUUCUCCGUACUAUAAAAUAAGCUUCAAGUCCCAAGCCCAUGCCCACCACAGCUCAGUUGCUCUUCGAUCUAUGGCUGUUAGUGAGCUAAUUUUAGCAUCUCUUCUUUCUUCGCUUGCUUUUGCAGCUGCACGGAACUCGCAGAACCAGCAAUCCCAGGCAAAGCUGUAGGCAUGGUAAUUUUUUCCGACCCGUGACAGACUAGAGGGUUGUGUAUGCUUUUCGAGCCGAUAUAUGCACAAACGAGUUGGUGGAUGACAAUGGAAAUAUCGUAAUGGAUGAAACAGCUAAAAGUAAAACGUUUGUGAUCCGCCAAUUCUAUGCCUAUGCUGCACGAGCAGGAAGCAGCCGAUUCGAAUAUUGCCGGCCAACAUCUUUACCUACGCAGCGGUUGUGAACAUCUUUUGCAUAUCGCAAUAUGAAUGCCAAACUUGAAAAUUGGUAAAAAUAUGGAUCGACCAUAACAGCUUAUUAUUCAUUCAAUAAUUUGCCUACAACGUUAUUCCCUCAACAAUCUAUUGAUUUUAAAUCCACUACUACCACGUUGGAAGCAUGCAAUAGCAGCAAUGAAAAAAGUCCCGUUUCAAGCAUAACGUCCCCUACCUGGGCAACAUUAACAAAAGUAAUGUAACAUACUCUAAAUGAAUAACAAAUGUGCCCAACACAAACAAUAUACCAGCAAUCAAGUGAAAGCAUCACCUUGAUUAAUAUGCAUAAUUGUAUUUGAACCAUAUGCUACCAUUUUAAGAAAAGCAAUUUGUCAUUCCAAAUGGCAGCAGCUAUCUCCAAGCAUUUGAUCAAUUUAACAAGAAAUAUCAACCCUAUAUAAAUAGGCAAAGUACCCCAAUUCUUUAUUUGAUCAAAAUUAUAAAGACACAUCACCCAAAGCUUUCCCAGGAGUGACAAAAUCCAGAGAAGCAGUGCAAAAGAAGUGACAAAAAUGACACGGGGAAAAAAACUAGAGGAUUUUCUAAUCAUACAUCAUCUCUCAGUAGAUUGUGAAAGUGAAGUCUAGAUGAGGGCUUGGAUACCAAGUUGCUGCAUCUCUCUUAGCUUCCAUAUUGGGUAGAUAGCACCUUCCCCGAGUUCUUCUGGAUCUACUUGUUGCAUAGCCCAUGCAUAAUAAACAGUGUGGAUUGUAUCCUACAAGACCCAUAAUUCUCAGAAUGCAUUGAAAAUCUAUAGGGAAAUAAUAAAGAAACAAGCAAGAAACCAUCUUUUAAGCCACAAUAAGAAAAUUAAAUUCAUUCUACAAAGUAACAAGGUGAUACAGCACAAGGUUAUUUAGAUUAUGAUUCUCAGUUUGUAAAAUUAGUCCAUAGUUUAGGACUAAAGGCUUACAAGGGAAAAAGUUCACUCAAAUGUAUUAAGAUUAAUAUAUAGACUAAAACUGUCAAUUGUGUUGUGCUAUAAAUUUUGGAAAAUCCCGUCAGCAAUUGUUAGCAAUACGAUCUGGUGAACAGUUCCCCAUCUUGUAAGAUCUGUCCAAAGAUGAGUUUCAACAUAGCAACUAAAAUGGCAGUCCAUGCAGAUUUAGCUUAAAGGUAUUUUAACAUACUCAAUUCCACACUUGGAAAUUAUGCGGACAGUGUUCGAUACGUGUUCAAAUUGUUUAGGAGAUUGUUCAAAAGGUUAUACCUUGCCCCCUUCUGUUAUUGCACCAUUUCGAUCACGUACACAGUGGACUUGCUGUGUUUGGAACUGCAAUUACUCCAAGAAACAGAACCAUCAAUUACUGCAGUUUUGGAUGCCUUCAAUCAAGUAAUCAGGAAAAGAAAAUAAGAAAAAUAGAAUGAGUACCGCUACAAUAAUUAUUGGGGAGGUUCCCAUCAUUUUGGUCUCUCUUACUUCGACCUCUGAUACAUGUAGAAUCUUGUUAUCAAAAAAUAUACCAUGGCUCUGAAAAGCCUUGUGCUCUGCCUCACAACGAGUAAUGACUUCAGGGCUGCAGUACUUCUUCAAAGUUUCCAAGUCUCCCUUCAUGUAAGCAAUAAGGACAGGUCUAACAGCUUCCUGAACUUCAGCCACAAAAUCCAUUAAAGAGAAUGAUGGAUCUCGACGACGUAUUUCCUUCAAUGAUGCCGCGGCAUCGGUUUCUUGAAAGAUAGUAUCACUAACAUCCUGAAUUUUGUGAACAAUAGGAUUAUCACUGGUCUCCCAUCUUUCCCGCAUGUCCUCUGCUAUCUCUUGACUCUUGGUUACAACAGGCUCACUAAAGCCAGCAAAAUGCUUGAAUAAAGGAUGGCCUUGCAUCUUUUUUCUAAAUGCCUCCCAUUUUUUACUCCAUCGAGACUGCUUUGUGGGUAGAACAGCAAUGUCAGUUCUUGUGCUCGUUUCACCUUUGAAGGAAGGAGGGGGGGUAAAUUCCAGGUGUUUUCUCUUACUAGGAUUACCAUAUAACUCAUCCUUCACAACAUCAUACCCCUUCUUCACAAAGUCGGUGACCUUUGCUUCCUUCAAUCUCUGGAAGGCUAAAGAUACCUUUGAGGAAGGUACACUUGACUUAAAUUUUCCAAAAAUAGUCUCUGCAUUAUCUCCAGUCCCAGUUCGUUUGUCUGUCUCUUGACCAGAUGCGGCCUUCAUAUCAUCUUUUACAUCUGCACCAUCUUUAUCUGAAGUGCCAGUGGACUCAGAAGACUCUUCCUUCCCACUUUUAAAAGUUUCUUUGACCUCCUCUUUUGCAGCUGAAAUCUUCUCUUUAACAUUGGCAGAAACCUUUUUUGCUGUAGCUUCAGCCUCUGUCCAAACACCAUCCACAUGCUUGUACAGCUUCUCAGUUGUCCGCUUCGUUCUGCAUUCGCCAUUUCACCAUCUCAGGCCCUCCCUAACUUUCAGCUCAUCUUUCGCUCCUUUCAGUUCUUCUGCUUUCUCCUUCAGCUCCUUGACUGACUGUUGAAAUUCUUGAUUUCUAGUGGCCUCUCCUUUUACUUUCUUGGACAAUUCAUUGAAUACACCAAAUUGACGAUAACCCGAGUACCCAUUUGUCGAUGGCAACCGUAAUCUCGCACUUGAACCCUGUUGAGACGUUAGGUGAAGAAAAAGGGGCUGCCUAUAAAGGAACAAAUCUCGAACCAGCUUCCUACUCGCCAUUAAAAUUUUCCCGAGAAUUGAAGGGGUUUAUAUUUAGAGUUGAUGCUGGGUAGCUAUUUUAUAUCAUAGAUUUUCCUCCCAGAGAAAGGAAGGAGAAUGACAGGAUGUUUAGUUUUCGUUUCAACCAAACAAGCGCUAGGGAACUAAUUUGCCCUAACGUACCUGCAGCUAUGAUAGAGGCGACUUGUUUGGCUAG
rnacentral:misc_RNA from 1 species